GUUAGCUAAAAUGCUGCUCGAGCGGCCGUCGAGCGGAGUUGAUGGGGUGCUUGCUCUCCUGAUGGUUAGCGGCGGACGGGUGAGUAACACGUAGGCAACCUGCCCUCAAGACUGGGAUAACUACCGGAAACGGUAGCUAAUACCGGAUAAUUAAAUUCGCUGCAUGGCGGAUUUAUGAAAGGCGGAGCAAUCUGUCACUUGAGGAUGGGCCUGCGGCGCAUUAGCUAGUUGGUGAGGUAACGGCUCACCAAGGCGACGAUGCGUAGCCGACCUGAGAGGGUGAACGGCCACACUGGGACUGAGACACGGCCCAGACUCCUACGGGAGGCAGCAGUAGGGAAUCUUCCGCAAUGGGCGAAAGCCUGACGGAGCAACGCCGCGUGAGUGAUGAAGGUUUUCGGAUCGUAAAGCUCUGUUGCCAGGGAAGAACGUCUCAUAGAGUAACUGCUAUGAGAGUGACGGUACCUGAGAAGAAAGCCCCGGCUAACUACGUGCCGCCC
rnacentral:rRNA from 1 species